rnacentral:lncRNA from 1 species
GGGAUUGCAGGUGUGAGCCACCGCGCCCACCCAAUCGCUUGUUUUAAAUGGUGUCUGCCAGCUGACUUUUUCGCAUUAUUAUGUUGGGGGGAUAUUUUGGGCCUUUGUAAACAAAUAGGAAAUAUUCGAGGAAGAGAAGGGGAGGAAGAUAAGGGAAGGAAAUUAGCUCACUCACUCCCUUGUUUUUGAUCUUAUCAUGCAUCAUUGCAAAUAAGUAAACAAAUCAGCCUGGCUUCUGGGCAAAAUCCAACUUUCUGUGUCCCCUGCGAAAAGGAAAAGGCUGUAUCACACAGUGACCACUGGGGAGCAGCAGAGGAUUGGGAUGAAUCAAAACUCAACUCCAGGAGAAAGGGCAGUUGGCUGCGUUCUGGGUAAACUUACCGGGACGUAAGCUCCGCAUCUGCUGGGGUUCUGGCGUCUUCCAUGAGCCAGGCUAUGGAAGUGGAGGUAGGGAGUCUUAGUUGCACCUCGCUCCCAGCCUGCUGCUGCGGUUACCAAGCCGUAUGGACGCGCCACCUUGAAAACAGGAGCUGUCGUCUCGGGAGGGCUUCACGAGGUCUCAGAAUCCCCUUCUGAGACUGGCUAGAAAAUUCCUGGGUGCUGAGGCUGUAUCUCUUUGGAGAUUGAUUGCAACCCCCCGAAAGCAGUUCUGGAAGAUAUAAGCCAAGGAGGAAUUUGCUAGAAGGUUAUGUGGAUGUUCAUGAGAUCAAAAAGAAAGGAGAAGCAACUGGCAGCUUCAACAGGUCUUAAAAGCGAAAAUCACUGAGGACAAUGCACCGGGUGUCUCUCCCAGGAUGUCUGAACUUUGACUGCUUUCAGUCUCACCCUUCAGCUCAGGGUUCAGAGUCUAAGGAGAAAGUGUUGGAUGGGGUCAGCAGGGUACAGGGUAUGGUAGGUUAAUAUUUGCUCACCCCCAAUCAAAUUCAUUCCUCCAUCAUUUUUUCUUUUCUUUUUUUUUUUUUUGGAGACGGAAUCUCAGUGUCGCCCAGGCUGGAGUGCAGUGGCACGAUCUUGGCUCACUGCAACCUCCACCUCCCGGGUUCAAGCGAUCCUCCUGCCUCAGCCUCCCAAAGAGCUGGAAUUUAUAGGCGCCACCACCACGUCCAACUAAUUUUUGCGUUUUUAUUAAAGAUGGGGAUUUCACCAUGUUGGCCAGGCUGGACUUGAACUUCUGACCUCAGGUGAUCUGCCUGCCUUGGCCUCCCAAAGUGCUGGGAUGACAGGCUUGAGGCACCGUGCCUGGCCCUUCCAUCAAAUAUUUAUUGAGCAAUAAAUACAUAGUGGGUUCUGUGUGCCUAACCAGUGGUGUGAGAUGCCGUUUGAGACAUUCAAGUGGAGGCAUCCCAGCUCCUCCCCGGGACCUAGGAAGCCCGCAUCCCAUUACUCUGCAGCCUUCCUCAACCUCCUGCCCUGCCAUUCACUCUGUGCCAGCAACACCAGCCUCCUUACCACUCCCCCCACCCCCAACACGCCGAACUCAUUCCCUCCCUGCCCACCUGGAACAGCCUCCCUCAAUAUGUGAGACCCACCCACACAGAGACAGUAUUUAAAGCCACAAGAGGAAGAUCAGUCCUCCAAGAGAAUCAGGGUGUUAUUCCAAAAGAAGGCAGGAUGGAUGCUGGAUAGCAAAACCCCACAAAACGUCCAUGACAGGAUUCCAGGAGGGGCCCACGAUCUCACAAUAGGCUGAGAACAACUCUCAGCCCUCCUGAGAGCCUCUGUGUGAGUGCACAUAUACUCAUGCAUAUAUGGUACUGUGGCUUUGGAGACCUGUGCGUAUUCAAUGCAUUUUACAUCGCAGCCCAAUACCAUAAAUGCAUGUGUAUAUGUGCACUCACACAUACACUGAAGUGAAAAUUUUGCAAAGCUAUAUUUAUCUUUAUUACAUCAUCACUCCUGAUGUUUUAGAUUUUUAUCCUGGUUCAUUAGGGGAAAAAAAAAAAAAAAA